AGAGUUUGAUCCUGGCUCAGAUUGAACGCUGGCGGCAUGCUUUACACAUGCAAGUCGAGCGGCAGCGCGGGGGCAACCCUGGCGGCGAGCGGCGAACGGGUGAGUAACACAUCGGAACGUGUCCCGUAGUGGGGGAUAGCCCGGCGAAAGCCGGAUUAAUACCGCAUAUGCUCUACGGAGGAAAGCGGGGGAUUCGCAAGAACCUCGCGCUAUGGGAGCGGCCGAUGUCCGAUUAGCUUGUUGGUGAGGUAAAGGCUCACCAAGGCGACGAUCGGUAGCUGGUCUGAGAGGAUGAUCAGCCACACUGGGACUGAGACACGGCCCAGACUCCUACGGGAGGCAGCAGUGGGGAAUUUUGGACAAUGGGGGCAACCCUGAUCCAGCCAUGCCGCGUGAGUGAAGAAGGCCUUCGGGUUGUAAAGCUCUUUUGGCCGGAAAGAAAAGAUCUCGUCUAAUAAACGAGGUUCUUGACGGUACCGGCAGAAUAAGCACCGGCUAACUACGUGCCAGCAGCCGCGGUAAUACGUAGGGUGCGAGCGUUAAUCGGAAUUACUGGGCGUAAAGAGUGCGUAGGCGGUUCUUUGUGUCCGCUGUGAAAUCCCCGGGCUUAACCUGGGAAUGGCAGUGGAAACUAGAGGACUUGAAUCCGGCAGAGGGGGGUGGAAUGCCACGUGUAGCAGUGAAAUGCGUAGAUAUGUGGCGGAACACCGAUGGCGAAGGCAGCCCCCUGGGCUGAGAUUGACGCUCAGGCACGAAAGCGUGGGGAGCAAACAGGAUUAGAUACCCUAGUAGUCC
rnacentral:rRNA from 1 species